rnacentral:lncRNA from 1 species
UUUUUCCUUCUUAGUGGCCGGAUGAUAGAGAGAGAAGAGGGGGGAAAAGCUUCAUUUUCCAGCCAUGAUUUCUUGGUCAAACAAGAGAGGAAACAUGCUUGCUCCAUAAACUUUUGAAUCAAGCUUGGAGAGGAGCCUUGGAGGAAGAACUUUCUUGAGCUUCUCGGUGGCUUUCCUCUUAGAAUUUGAUGGAAAAAUGAGGUAAAAGUACUAGCAACCCACUAAUUUUUUAAGAUACUUAAGUUUAUAUGAUUGUAUGUUGGAUUUGAGCCAUGGAAGUUAAGUUUUGUUGAAGACAUCUCUUGUUUCCUAAUUAUUUCUUUGUUGCCAGCUUUAUUCCAGAUUUGCACUCACCACUUGAAUUGCAUAUUCGUCCAUGAUAAAGGCAAAAUCAGUUCUUACUCAAAACAUGAAAGUUGUAUGGAUUUGAGUUAUCUUUCUACCCAAAAAAUUUCACCUCAAUCGGAGUACUGUAACUUGUGAAAUGACUAAAAUAUCCCUGACUGCCCAAAUGCCCUGUUCAACCGAUAGCUUUCUAUUUUCUUUGAGAUUUCAAUUUUUGACCAUGAAAAUGCAUGAUUUGGCUUUGGAGGUCUUCAUAAUAAAUGUAGGUCUAUGUCUUAGCUUUGAAACGCCAUAAGAUUCAUCUCAAUCCGAUAAGUGUAGCUUCAGUUGUGAUUAAAAUGCCAAAAGGUGAGAGGAACUUGAUGAUUUUAGAAUUUCCUUUGCUUGACAUGAUAUUUGUGAUCUAGGGCUUGGACUUGAGCAAGGAAACUAUCUAUGAUGGAAUAGGAUCAUGAGCUGUGGUUGGUGAGUGAUUCCAAAACUUUUUCCAAAGUUACUUUUCGAACUAUUUCUUGCACUGUUUACUCGAUUGCAUAUCAUGUGUGUUUGCGUGUGUGCCAUGCAAUGAUUUGGCUCAAAUGAGUGUUUGGAAGUUUUGUGCUUAACACUAACGUCUCCACCUUAAUGACACUUGACUUGCCUUGAAUGUUGGAGCACCGAUGGCUCCCUUGUAUUGCUAGACUGUUACUUGAUCUAUUUGAGCGUUGGAUGUUUAAGUACAAUGAUUUCACUGGCUCACAAGAGCAAUAAACUUACAUUUGAUCAUUGAUUCAUGACAUCAUCUAAAUGCACUAUUGUGAAACUUAUUUGAUUAUUAAUUUUUACUGGACACUCGCUGAGUUUCUAGCUCACUCCAAAAUAUUUAUUUCCUCUCCAUAGGGUUCGAGGCAAAUGAAGCACUUGUAUUAACUUAUUAGUGUGACUGAAUGGAAUAUCUCAUGUAUAUUUUGAAUUUCGAUUCACUUGUGGUGUGUAAAUUCGUGGAAUAUUUGAUGUAAUAUUUGAGAUUUACAUUAUAGUUUAUUUGAGGACUGUAGUGAGUCCUGGCGAGAGUUGGGCAAGUGGUCCGUCGAACCCUUUUGGUUCGCCUUAGGGGGAGGUGGGGUCGUCACAGGGGGAAGUUGUAGAAUUUCUUUUAAAUUAUAAUUAAAUUAAAUUAAAUAGUAAAA